rnacentral:lncRNA from 1 species
AUGGCAGGCUCUUUGUUGGAGGGCCAACUCCCCUUGGCUCUCCUUUGUGGUAAGGGAGAGCCUGGUGCACUCAGGUCACUGACUGGGACACAGGUCCCUUCCCUGUCGGCCUUAGUGUGCUGGGAUUCCUGUGUCCCGGAGGGCUGCCCGGCCCAGGGAGUCCCUGCACCGUGGGCCGCGGGCGGUGUGGCUGUCCCUCUGAAAGGCCACCCCCUCCCCACUCGUGUGGAGGUGGGAUUCGGAGCCCUGGUAGCGUGGCUGUCGGGCUGCAGCACACGUGGAGGCAGCUACUUUGUGCAAAUAGUCGCUCUUCUGCUAACAGCAAGUAAAGUCUCACAGGGACUGAGAGAACCAAGUGGCCGCCUCGAGGUACAGCUGUGGGCUGAGAGCUCUCCCCUCAGUGCCUCCCGUGGGAGAGCCCGCAGGGACGCAGAGCCACACCAUGGCAGGAGUGCCGCUCAGCCACCAGAGUGGGCUGCCUCAGCCCCAGAGCCCGAGUGUGCCCUCCCUCCCUGUAGGUGGCAGGCCAGGAGCGCCCAGGGCCACAGUGGGCACUUCCUUCAGGAGAGCUGGAUGCCCGGUCGUUGUGCAGGGCUGUCCCCAGGGCUGCUGCAGACGGCUCUGGCCUUGUCACUUGCCACCGUCACUUCCCUACCACCACCUGCUUUCCUGACUCCUGCCUCUAACAGGUGGGCGGCAGGAGGGAGCACCAAGGCACCCUCACACGGUCGCCACCAGCAAGGGGUUGGGAGCAGGCAGGCCAGGACACCCAAGGGGUCGGGUGGCCUUCCUCCUCGUGCUGGCGAGGCCACUGUGCUCCUCAAAGCCUGCCCUGCUGCUGGGCUUCCCUUGUCACAGCCAUUUCCCACUCAUGUGUCUCAUCCCCGUGAGAGUCCAAGUUUCUGGAAGACAGACAUCCUCUCACAUUACACCCAGAAAAUAACUUAUGAUGAAAAAGAACCUGAAUUAAACCACAAUGAGAGACCACUUCAUACCCAUUAG